rnacentral:rRNA from 1 species
ACGGAGAGUUUGAUCCUGGCUCAGGAUGAACGUUGGCGGCGUGCCUAAUACAUGCAAGUCGAACGGUAGUAUCGCGUUCGCGCGGUAUGAGAGUGGCGAACGGGUGAGUAACACGUAACUGAUCUGCCCCUUAGAUUGGGAUAACCUUUGGAAACAGAGGCUAAUACCGGAUGAGACCGUGGUAGUUAGAGAGCUGCGGUGAAAGUGAAUGCGCUGAGGGAUGAGGUUGCGAGCCAUCAGCUAGUUGGUGAGGUAAGGGCUCACCAAGGCGAUGACGGAUAGGGGACCUGAGAGGGUGGCCCCCCACACUGGGACUGAGACACGGCCCAGACUCCUACGGGAGGCAGCAGUAAGGGAUAUUGCGCAAUGGACGGAAGUCUGACGCAGCGACGCCGCGUGGGUGAAGAAGGUUUUCGGAUCGUAAAGCCCUUUUCUAUGUGACGAGGUAGGACGGUAGCAUAGGAAUAAGUGUCGGCUAACUACGUGCCAGCAGCCGCGGUAAAACGUAGGACGCGAACGUUAUCCGGAGUUACUGGGCGUAAAGCGCGCGCAGGCGGUUGGAUAAGUUACCUAUGAAAGGUACAGGCUAAACUUGUAUUGGUUAGGUAAAACUGUUUGACUAGAGAGAAAUAGAGGGAAGUAGAAUUCCGGGUGUAGUGGUGAAAUGCGUAGAUAUCCGGAGGAAUACCGGUGGCGAAGGCGGCUUCCUGGAUUUCCACUGACGCUGAGGCGCGAAAGCGUGGGUAGCGAACAGGAUUAGAUACCCUGGUAGUCCACGCCGUAAACGAUGUACAUUAGGCGUUCGGCAGCGCAAGUUGUUGAGUGUCGCAGCAAACGCGAUAAAUGUACCGCCUGGGGAGUACGGUCGCAAGGCUAAAACUCAAAGGAAUUGACGGGGGCCCGCACAAGCAGCGGAGCGUGUGGUUUAAUUCGAGGCUACGCGAAGAACCUUACCUGGGAGUGACAUGUCGGUAGUACGGAAGCGAAAGCGGAAGGACCCUUCGGGGAGCCGUCACAGGUGCUGCAUGGUUGUCGUCAGCUCGUGCCGUGAGGUGUUCGGUUAAGUCCGCAAACGAGCGCAACCCUCGGUGCUAGUUAUACGUGUCUAGCAUGACUGCCCGUGACAAACGGGAGGAAGGUGGGGAUGACGUCAAAUCAGCAUGGCCUUAAUAUCCAGGGCGACACACACGCUACAAUGGUCGGUACAAUAGGUAGCGAAGCAGCGAUGUGGAGCGAAUCCUGUAAAGCCGGUCUCAGUUCGGAUUGCAGGCUGCAACUCGCCUGCAUGAAGUCGGAGUUGCUAGUAACCGCAGGUCAGCAAUACUGCGGUGAAUACGUUCCCGGGCCUUGUACACACCGCCCGUCACGUCAUGGGAGUUGGUCGAGCCUGAAGUCGGGAAGCCAACCCAAUUGGGGGGCUACUGCCUAGGGCAGGGUCGAUGACUGGGACGAAGUCGUAACAAGGUAGCUGUAGCGGAAGCUGCGGCUGGAUCACCUCCUUUCU